AUGAACGCUAGCUACAGGCUUAACACAUGCAAGUCGAGGGGCAGCAUUUUAGUUUGCUUGCAAACUAAAGAUGGCGACCGGCGCACGGGUGAGUAACACGUAUCCAACCUGCCGAUAACUCGGGGAUAGCCUUUCGAAAGAAAGAUUAAUAUCCGAUAGUAUAUUAAAACCGCAUGGUUUUACUAUUAAAGAAUUUCGGUUAUCGAUGGGGAUGCGUUCCAUUAGUUUGUUGGCGGGGUAACGGCCCACCAAGACUACGAUGGAUAGGGGUUCUGAGAGGAAGGUCCCCCACAUUGGAACUGAGACACGGUCCAAACUCCUACGGGAGGCAGCAGUGAGGAAUAUUGGUCAAUGGACGAGAGUCUGAACCAGCCAAGUAGCGUGAAGGAUGACUGCCCUAUGGGUUGUAAACUUCUUUUAUAUGGGAAUAAAGUAUUCCACGUGUGGGAUUUUGUAUGUACCAUAUGAAUAAGGAUCGGCUAACUCCGUGCCAGCAGCCGCGGUAAUACGGAGGAUCCGAGCGUUAUCCGGAUUUAUUGGGUUUAAAGGGAGCGUAGGUGGAUUGUUAAGUCAGUUGUGAAAGUUUGCGGCUCAACCGUAAAAUUGCAGUUGAAACUGGCAGUCUUGAGUACAGUAGAGGUGGGCGGAAUUCGUGGUGUAGCGGUGAAAUGCUUAGAUAUCACGAAGAACUCCGAUUGCGAAGGCAGCUCACUAGACUGCAACUGACACUGAGGCUCGAAAGUGUGGGUAUCAAACAGGAUUAGAUACCCUGGUAGUCCACACAGUAAACGAUGAAUACUCGCUGUUUGCGAUAUACAGUAAGCGGCCAAGCGAAAGCAUUAAGUAUUCCACCUGGGGAGUACGCCGGCAACGGUGAAACUCAAAGGAAUUGACGGGGGCCCGCACAAGCGGAGGAACAUGUGGUUUAAUUCGAUGAUACGCGAGGAACCUUACCCGGGCUUAAAUUGCAGUUGAAUAAUCUGGAAACAGGUUAGCCGCAAGGCAAAUGUGAAGGUGCUGCAUGGUUGUCGUCAGCUCGUGCCCUGAGGUGUCGGCUUAAGUGCCAUAACGAGCGCAACCCUUGCUGCCAGUUACUAACAGGUCAUGCUGAGGACUCUAGAGAGACUGCCGUCGUAAGAUGUGAGGAAGGUGGGGAUGACGUCAAAUCAGCACGGCCCUUACGUCCGGGGCUACACACGUGUUACAAUGGGGGGUACAGAAGGCAGCUACCUGGCGACAGGAUGCUAAUCCCAAAAACCUCUCUCAGUUCGGAUCGAAGUCUGCAACCCGACUUCGUGAAGCUGGAUUCGCUAGUAAUCGCGCAUCAGCCAUGGCGCGGUGAAUACGUUCCCGGGCCUUGUACACACCGCCCGUCAAGCCAUGAAAGCCGGGGGUACCUGAAGUACGUAACCGCAAGGAGCGUCCUAGGGUAAAACUGGUAAUUGGGGCU
rnacentral:rRNA from 1 species